rnacentral:lncRNA from 1 species
CUCAAUCUAGCGGGAUGCAAAUAUUUUUUUUUUAUGUCUCUAACUUUUGCCUGGAUCGCCCUUUCGGGUUUUCCACCGAGACGCUCAUUUUUGCCUAAGCCGCCCUUUCGGGUUUUCAACUUGGCGAGCUAUUCUGUUUUUCUUUUAUACUCUUUUUUUUUUUUUAGGAAAAGUAUUUCUUGACUGCAUCUGAAUUCAC